AUUACUGGGCGUAAAGCGUACGCAGGCGGUUUGUUAAGCAAGAUGUGAAAGCCCCGGGCUCAACCUGGGAACAGCAUUUUGAACUGGCAAGCUAGAGUCUUGUAGAGGGGGGUAGAAUUUCAGGUGUAGCGGUGAAAUGCGUAGAGAUCUGAAGGAAUACCGGUGGCGAAGGCGGCCCCCUGGACAAAGACUGACGCUCAGGUACGAAAGCGUGGGGAGCAAACAGGAUUAGAUACCCUGGUAGUCCACGCCGUAAACGAUGUCUACUCGGAAUUUGGUGUCUUGAACACUGGGUUCUCAAGCUAACGCAUUAAGUAGACCGCCUGGGGAGUACGGCCGCAAGGUUAAAACUCAAAGGAAUUGACGGGGGCCCG
rnacentral:rRNA from 1 species